ensembl:lncRNA
UCUCUCUCUCUCUUUACUGUGCCCAAGUUUGUCAACAAUGACUCGGCAGAGUGGAUGCAAAUGGCCGGCCAAGUGUCAAGGGGAGACCAUGAUAAAAGACAGAUGUCCUGCAUAAUGCUCAGUAACUUAAAUCGAUAGCGUGGCAGCAAGCCAACUUCAAAGAAGGUUAUAGGGAUUUACACAGAAACUACAAUAUCAAAUUCUGCAAGAAACCUCUCUCCCAGCAUGCUUAGCAAAGCAACAGAGGGAUGGAGCACACAGCCUUUUGGCUAUUUAGUGAGAGGAAGUUACAGGUCAGGGGACACAGGGGACACAGGGGACACCGCUCAGUGCAGCGUGGACCAUGAAGAGCGACGGUCGCUGGGUCCAUAACUUUAGUCCGCACCGAAAUAUCUCAACCGGUCUCUGAUAGAACGCCAGGAAGUUCUGCAUAGACAUUCACGGCGCCCAGAAGAUAGAUUCACAUUUCCUCCAGCGCCGUCAACAACUAUUGGAUGGAGGGCACUGGAAUAUGUCAGAGACCUCCUUUGUUAUGCUCCCCUCAGGAUUAUUUGCAAAAGCUUUGAUUGACUUUUAUUUAAAAAUAGGAUUUUUUCUCGAGGACUACUUCAGUUUAUGACCCUUUUAAUGAGAACUAAUGAAAAUCAUUUUUGUCAUUCUCACUUGUAUUUCGUGUUUUGCACAAAUUGACUGCGAUGGUGCAAACCUCCGAAUGUCAGUACCAGCAUGGUUGCAUAUCACUCUUAUCAUUUAGCUACAACCUCACAUUGUCAUUUUGAGAUACUACCUUUGCUCUGGUGUCUGAAGAACAUCUACAAAGCAAACAAAACGGUGCCUCAGUAAGAGAAAUAAACUAUUCAUUUGAAGCCUAUCAGUGUGCCUUGCUCUAGUGUUCUAACAAUUUACAAAGAAAACAACUACUCCCAAAUAUAUUAAAAUAAAACAUUUGCCGGGUGUUAUCAAAGACCGCACUGCCAUCACUAUCUCUACAUGAUAUGUCACAUUUAUAUUUGAAAUAGUGCUUUGAAAUGUGCCUGCAGAACCAAACCAGCAGGAGGCCCAGUUGACUUUUUUGAAAAGGUAACACCACUGCUGAUCGGAAACGUGCAGAGACACAGGGAGGCUCAGAGGGAGUGAAAUGUAGGACUUUUCGAAAGAAAGUUAUAAUGUCACAACAAAAUGUUCCUGCACAGUUACACAUAAUGCUGCUGCAUCGCCUCUCCAUCCAAUAGAGAGCAGCGAAGUGGCCAGGAAGACUGAUGUCACACAGGAUGGAGACACGUGUGCUCCACCAGAUGUGCCGGUAAUUAUGGGGGAAUGAAUAGUGAUGUUUUAAGAGGAGAUUAGGGGCAAUUACAGUGAUUCCAAGCACUGGAGCCGGGCCCCGAACGCACACCAACAUAAUUACCAGGCAAGAUCUCCCAUCUCACAGUAAGCACGACAGAUUUGGCAUGUUUGCAUAUUCAAACAAUGGCUUCUGUAAGAUGUUUAUCUUUCAAUAUUUAAAGAUCUUGAUUCUUUUAGUGCUUAAUUUUGCAUUUGGUCUGUGAUGUGUUGGCUUCUGGUGCCGCCGUUGUCGCUGUUAAUGACUUUGAAGGAGCUCGGUGAUAUAUUUAGCUGCUAAUCAGACAGAAUUAAUCUAAAGUCGUCUGGAAAUUUUGUUGCCGUCCAAUAACUUGCAGGAAUGUAUUGGAUAGCAAUGUGUGUGUGUGAGGGUGUAUCCACAAGAGGCCAAAACAGAGAUAUAAUUUCAUUUAAGAGGCACACUCAUCAAGUCUAAAUGAAGAUUAAUGAACACAUGAUGCAGGGUAGAAAAUAAUAAUAAUCCCGUUGUCUUAAAGGCUCUAAUUUGUCUGAGAACAUGCUGUCAUGCUACAGAGGGCUUAUUGCCAUUUGCUAUUGCAACUGCACAUUGCAAUGGAGACAUGGUGGGGGGGCAUCUGCAUGGACGAGCAAAGCCGCGAGCUGCAAGCGUGACGACGUAUGUGAUGAAGAGAAACAUUGGAGUGAGCAGGAAGGAGUUGCCGUAUGCGGAGGGAGCGCCAAUUCCCUAAAUAACUUGUUCAUUGAUCUCAGUAAUCAGAUGCAGUAUUGAUAGUGUUGUUCACACAAAGGACCCCGAUCCACUAAUAAUGAGUUGCAAUAGACUAAAGGAGGAAUAUACUGCAUUGCAGCUCUACAACGUACAGUGGAGAUAUAUAAUAUAGAACUAGCAAUGCUGCCCCGAAUCAACAGGAUGAUGAAACUUUCUAAAUAUUUCCAAAUUUUCAAAACCCACGCACAGAAGUGGCGCCGGCGGGAAUCCAACCAAAUAACUGCAUUCGCCACAUUCGCUGGAUCAUCUUCCCCACUCAAGCACAACCUGGAUCAAAAAUAAAGACAUUCACAUUUUAACGCGGUUAUCAAAAUGUGUAGGAUUCUGUAGCUUCAACGUGAUUGGCAUUCCCUCUGAGUCGAGUAUACAGCGGCUCACUGUCUCCUCAUGAGGUACAAGUGUUCUUAUGAGAGUCGACGUGCAGCGGCGAGCUGGCUAGCACGUUCAUUUCAAAAGAUAUCUCUGUGGGGGAAAAAAAGAUAGCUGUCUUUGAUAUAAUGUCAACACUAUAGGCUCUCGUUUUGAUAAUGUUGUUUAUCCUUUUAAUAUUUUGAAUGCUAUUUCUGGACAGAUCUUACACAUGCACGUUUAAAGAGGUGAAGAAACGGCCUACUUCAUUUCAUAAAUUACCCCCAAAAAAACGCUUUAUGUUUUUCUUCCUCUCUGAUUCGCAGUUAUAUUUAUAAUAUGAAGAUUCAGUUUCCAUAGACUCAAGCCUCCAGACCACCUCAACAGCGCUGUGUACAGCUUUGCUUGUUCUCCACCCACACCGAAUGAUCUUUACUGUAGAUAGAGCACACAGAAAUAGACCAAUCACUUCACAGAGACACUCACACACCGCCCUUCACACACACACACGUACACACACACAUAGACCUCUGUGUGUGUAUGUGUACGUGUGUGUGUGUGUGUGUGUGUGUGUGUGUGUGUGAGGGGGGACACAACACACACAGAUUGAAUAAACUCAUCAGUGAGUGAUACUAGAGCAAGUAUCUCACAAUACUAUAUCAACAAAGCAUGUGUGUUAAUUAGAUGGAAAUCUCCAUAUAUAAUAUCUCAUUACACAGUCGUGUUCAAUUUGAGAGGAUCGACCUGAGCCUUAUUCAGAGUUAUUCACAAAGAUAAAGGUCUGAAUCAAUGUCUACCUCCUCUUAUCUGUUAAGAGUGAUUGACAGUCACUGUUUUGGAGUGGCCGAUCUCAAUAGCACCAUCCUUGUGCACAUGGGAAAUACUAAACAUAAUUCUAUAGAUCCUCUCUAGUUUUCCAACCACUUCGAUGACAAGCAAUCACCUCCAUUCGUACACUGAUGACAGGUGCUACCUUGCAAGGUGACCUCUGCCCUUCAGGAUUAACCAAACACUUAUACCCAUUUAUACACAGAUGCCUCACUUUUGGGGAAAAAAAAUUGGGUUAGGUGCUUUUCUCAAGGACAAACCAAACUGGACCACUCCAUGUGUUUAGUGGCCCAGGAUCCAACCGCCAACCCUCUGAUAGAGGCGAGACCGGCCCUUCCCUCUCCGCCACAUGAGUUAUUAAUAACAGCCUGCUUGGGAUGCUCACGCAUUUGGCUCGGCCAACAACGCAGCUGCACUAUGUCUUAUUUGUGUGCAAUACCUGAGGUUUAUGAGUUCUGUCGCAGGGCCAGGAAAUCACGUCCAACCCAGAUGAAAUCAAAUGUGAUUCAAAAGGAAGGAGAGUGCGUUCGUAUUAUUUCCUGAGUCAUCACGCAUCUACUUUAAUACUUUCCGCUUGCCCCUCUUCACAAUUCUCCUUUUAUGCUCACUCUGUGUUUAGAAAUUGUUAGCCUUAUAUGAUUCUACUACUCGGCAUAAAAUAGAUUUGUAAAUGGAGAGACAGAAGGUACUGUGCCAGCAGUACGGUUUGGUCGUUGCACAAUCAAGCCAUGAGGGUCUUUAUUUGUCUUGUAGAUCUUGUAGGUCUCAUCAACUUGACUAUGUUACGUAAAUGGGCAACAUCCCCGGCAGCUCGGUUGAUCCUUCAACCAACCAGGAGUUCACCAUCAACUGGAACAGGGGGAGUUUAACUGCGAUGCUCGACUAAUGUAAACUCUGUAGGGGAACAGACCCCUGCAGGAAGGACCGUCGGUCUUUGUCCGCAACUGCAGAGGGCCGGCAAUAUGACAGCGCUGAGUGUAUUGAGGUGGUUGGCCAGCCUUCGUUUGAUGGUAAGAAGUAGAUGCAACACUAGGUUGCCACAGCUCUGGGUUUUGCCUGGGUAGAGUGGGAGGUAAUCUUUUCCUGGGCCUCCAACACUUUAGGCCCCUGAUAUGGGAAAAACAUGUGUCGUCCGGGAUCAACAACUGCACGGUAGCCUGUAUCAAAAGGCCGGGGCAGAGUCCAAUGCACUGCCCUGUUGAGCACGGCGAACAGCCUGUGGUUGCGGACCUUCGCGCGACAGUUUGAAGGCUCUACACAUUCCGAGACUCGAGUCAGAAAGCAGAAUCGGAUUCAAGACAUGCGUCUCUGCCAGUUUAACUUUGGUAGUACUUCUCUCCCACCUGUAGGGAGGCUGAAAUAGGCCGCACCAUGUCACAUGAGAGGGUGAGUGUUGAGGACAUGAGGGUGGAAGAACACAGGACUGGUGAACUGGGUCGGUGGUUGAGUUGAUCGUAACCCUUCUUUUAGAGGCACGGCCCUUGCCCCUUACCAGGGGGUACCGCCGCUCCACUGCCACCCAAUGAAAACAAUGAGGGGGAUGUUGAGCAGAGAUGUAUACUGCUUUAUGUGCUUCGGGGUUCGCACAGAACCGGGUGGACAUGAUUGGCCGACUACGCUUUCAAAAACUUUUAGUGGGGGUGUAUUUUUGCAACAUUGUGACCUUCUUUCUGAAUAGAGCGUCCAUGAGUGUUAUUUUCACCCUGUAUUGAAGCAAAAGUUCACCGAAGUGGUCCCAUUUGCAUUAAGGCACAAACAGUAAAAAUUCUGCUGCUGCCUCGCUCAUCACCGGGGAGAUAAUGUGUGGGUGGAUCCUUUGGGCAAUUUCUGACACCACCCGAGACGGAGAGAGAAGGUGAGAGAAAAAGGAGCCAGUGUGACAGCAAGAAAGAUCAUUGUUUGUGUGUAAUGGAUGCAAAAGCAAUGUCAGCUGUUGACAUCUUGCAUUAUCUUUUGCAGUAUACAGCUCUGUUGUAAAGUAGACUCAUCGCCUAAAAGUCUGUCUUUGAGUUAGACAGUCUGAAGGCGAGGGAGAGUCAUCUUAAAGGUGAAUGUCAGCGUGCCAGCGUUCAGACAUUAUGUUUGCCCAUGAAUAUAUAACAGGAUUUCAGCAAGUGAGAUGUUUGUCAAACAAUAAUUUGAUACAAAGGUGUGGAAAACAGAGGAGCUUGAUUCUGUGCAGCAACAAAAUCAGCCCCAAUACAUGAAUUAAAGCUUAACUGUCCAAUGAAAUCAUGUGGGAAUUGUGAACCAAAGAAAAGUGCAGUUGCGGUCACAUAUUGCUCUGCGUUGCAAUGUGAUGUGUACGUAUAAAACCUGUCCUGUGUGUAGAGCCACAACAAUCUAAUAAUGAAAUAAUCAUCCUAUCUUAUCUUAAACAACUUUCUACACUCAAACAAUAUUAAAAUAGUGCACACGGGUUGCACAGUAAGGCUUUAGUUUUACUACAUUAUUCUACAUUAUACUCUACAGAAGGAGUCAUUCGUACAGUACUUCAUAUUUAUUCAUAUUUUUAUGCAUAUUCAUAUUUAAAGAGUUAGAAAGACGUUGGGAUUCAACAUUGAACAUCACUUCAGAAGCACUGUCCUUUUAUUAAAGCUGCCAAGUUCACAAGCCCGACCACUCUGAGCCAGACGCAGGCGAGUUGAAUGCUUGCCUGUGACUGCAUAGCUCGCCAGUUAGGAACAAACUACACCCUUGGAGGGGACCAUUGGGAUGGAGCGUUGAAAUAACGACGUGCUAAUCCACAUGUAUGCGACCCGUGCUGGUUCUAGCCAUCCCGGGGGGCUUAACCUACACACAUCAUGCAGUCAGGAUUCCUGGUUUCCAACCUGGCGACAAAAAAAGUCAAACCUGAUCUAAUGCCGUCGUCCGCCUUCGCCAACAACGUUACAAUCUGGGCAAAUCAGUGUAGCAGUGUGACUUGAGUAGUCGUCCUAAAGCUCCAAGGUUUACCUUUGAAAAUACGCAACAUCAUCUCUGUUAGACGGAAUUUAUUUUAAUCGCAAAACCUCUUUAUGGCUUUUAUGAGCACUUUCUUUCGCACAUCAUUACUAUAUGCUCCAAUACCCUUGGUAGUUCCGACAAUUAUCUGAGGACACUUUGGGUUUUGCAUGUCUUUAGUGCGGCCUUGGUUGUUUCUCGAUUGUCUCUAUUGGAGUCUCAUACACUCACGUCUUUAACACAAGUUUCGAACCCAGAGAGGAAACCACACCGGCCCUGAUUUAUAGUUGAAAGGCCUUUCAUCCGCGAGGGGACGGAUAUGGAAACGUGUUGAUGAGCCAGCGCCUCACACCAUCACAACUGAUGUUUGUGGAGAUGCUCACACCUCAGGAGUGAUGAACCUGAGGCACAACAGCACCAUGGAUCAAACCUAGUAGCUUUGUCAGUAACAAGAUAUUGAUUUGGAUCCUUGCCAAAUAGAAUGAUGAUAUGUGUCCGCUUAGUUUGGCCAGCUGACAGAAGCAUUUUUAUUUUUGGAUUUCUUUAACUCCUCUCUUGCACUCCGUCUUUAGUCCCAACCAAGCCACAUCUCCCAUCUGUCUUCUCUCAUCCAUUUCAGAGCGCCUCUUCUGGUGUAGAAGGAGACCCGAGAGAGUGGCAGGGGCAUCUGGGACGUGACAUGGAGAUAAGGGUUAUAGUGCUCAACAGACAGUCUGUCUCUAAACUCUGAGGCCAGAUGGCCGCUGUCUGCCAGGGAGAUGGCCAAUCCCCCAGGUACACCGAUCCAAAUUCACACUCACAUCAAAACACAUUGAAUAAAUACACCAUGCAAGGCACCAUUAUCUCAACAACUGGUUUCUUGCAAAGAUCACAGGAGAAUCGGGGGAUCAAACAUUCCCUCAUUCUAACCGCAUCUGGUCUCUGGACACACAUCAACACACAUUAAAUAGAUAAACACUGUAUUUGCCUAAUGGCGUGGGUGAGGGGGGGGGGACCAGUUGAAACGGAGAGGUGACUGUAUGUUCAAAUCAACAAUGCCAGAGGUUAGUGGAGAACUCGAUAAUGUGUCUUCUUCAAACGAAGGAGACACAUUGUCCAGUUCAAAAAUUCACUGACGCGCUGAAAAACGCACUCUGGAUUUUCUCCAUGAAAAAAAAGGUUUUCGCUCUUCUCCCGACAGGCCCUGGCAUGGGUUUGAUUGACAGAUGGUUCAUCCAAUGACCUGCCAAGUAUUAUUUUAAAGUGCCUGGCCUUUUCUUACCAGUUUCCCAAUGAUGACGUCUCAGUACUGAGGAACAAACCAUCUGUCUGAUCAAAUUAGCGAUAUAAUGCUGUUCAACGCUAAAGGUAUACAGUCCCACAGACGUGUGCAUACUGACAUUCCUCAAUGCUUUGAGAGUUUUGUCAGCACUGCUGCAGAUUGAAUCUUCCAUGUCAGUUAAAGCUCUAUACAAGCGAGAUGUUCACGCCGUAUGUGUUUCCUGUGGCGCGGACGCAGUUGAGCUGUCCAUUCCGUCGCUUGGAAAACGUCGCGUCUAAGUCCGUCUUUGGUGAGAUCCGCCCCAAGACUCCCUAACCUUCUGUAAGCCCCCCAGAUCCACACACAGAUGGAGGCCCUCGUCUCUCCUCCUCCCCCUCCUCCCUCUAUUCUCCCAGGCGGAGCCGUUCAUCCUGCCCCCGGGAACAUAUGCGCUGCUUCUGGGAGGAGGUGCAGAAUCUCAUGUGCGGGCCAAAUUUCAGAUCUGGCAUAUUUCCCGAGGGGCUUUUUAUUGUUCGGUUGGACCUUCUGUUUUGAUGGACAGGCUUGGACUGAGGGCCCGCGUAACACGGAGCUACACAGCGACCUCUUCUGUGGCGCCAGACUUCGAGGGAAGUUAACGUGGGCACCGUCUUGCACCGCACACUGGAGGAUUAGCGCAGUGAAAAGGCAGCUGAGGUGCUUGUCUGUCAGCAGAUGAGGCUAAAUUGUUGAGCCCGGGUGAGUAUCAUGUGAGUUGUUGGCCCUUUCGGGUGGCUGUUGAAAGCCAAUUACCUCCUCUAAUAUUCCUUUUACUUUUUGAAUGGCUGAGGAUGAUUGAAUGCAAUUUCCACCCAGGGAGUGGACUAUUAAAUGGUUCCACCGUCGUCCCUCUUCUAUCAGCUCUUCAUUUAAUUUUUCUAAAGACGAAUAAAGAACUGAACAAGUAAGAUUACUAUGUUGUACUUCCAAAGGUAAUAAUGAAGUUAACCUAGCGUUGACAUUUGGGUGAUAAUACCUGAAUGUCAAUGUAUUAUCACUGUCUUUGUGCCUUCUUCUUUCUUUCGGAAACUCCUAAACUCCCUAAAAUAAAUGGCCUUGUGUCAUAGAGGCAGCUUUUCACACACGUCAGCAAACUACGAUGGACUUUUUAGUCUUCACUACAGCAGUGAGACUCCAUUUAACUCAGUUUGCAAACCUAUUGAGCAAGUUGAGAUCGUAUGACCACAACAACUGGAAAAUGACAAAAGCUUUCAGAGGACGACAGGAUGUAAGUGUCAGCUUAGUUCAGUUCAGUUUAGUGUCCAUCAAUCCAGAGGACAAAAUCAGAGAGACUUCACAGACAAAUGCUUUACAGUUGUACAUAUGUGCUUUUCAAUUCAGUAAGGAGUAAAUAUCCCGCAAGCUUUUGUUCAGUAAUUAUUAAAAACAACUGGAAGCCUGACAUUUAAAUGUUAUUAUUCAACAAUCAAGAAUGUUUAUACCGUAUGGCCAAUAUAUAUGUACUUUACUAGGUUAAACUGGUUAAAUAUGAAAUAGGAGCCCUAUAAUGUUCGUUAUAUAUAGGUCAAUCUGGCACUUGGCUGAGGUUCAUAAAGGGCAGAAAAUCGGUGAAUGUUGAAGUUGUAUAAUUUAUGUUCCUCUGUGACUCUCGCACGUCUGCUGUUGCGUAGCUUCCUGUUCCAACCAAUAAGGAGAAAAAAGAAGCCCUGGAGGAAUGAGAGACAUGUCACAACAACAGCUGAACCUUGCCUUCACUUAUUAAAUGUAAUGUGCACUGUAGCUGCUUGCUAUGAGCCAAGGGAGCAUUUAAGAGUUAAUUAUGUGUUGUAGAAAAAUAAACUUCAAAAACCAAAGAUUUUUUUGUUGCAUUUCACUGCAACAAAUUCCUCUGUAAUUAAGUGCAUUACCAUUUAUAUAGACCCUAGUCAGCAGUCAUAUUGAAAAGGAUUCUCUUGAGGACUUUGAGCCACAGAAACGUCAAUUGUUAACAUUUUCUUAAAAUGUCACGGCAAGAUGGUUCCUCAUGCAUUUAAAUGCAUUGCAUCAGAUGCAUAGUAGAUCGAUAUUAAUAGAUCUUCAAGGCAUUACUGUCGGCAUUCAACGAAUCAUCUUGUCCAUGUGUCCAUGUUGCUGAUACAUAUGGUGGUACUUAUCACAAUUAACAUUCAGACAUACUUGUAAAUAAAUCUGCAUAAGUGAUGACAGAGGAGACUGACACACACUAAUACACGAGGCUUGUUCAACAAUUACAAUGCAAUAUAAUAUGCAGUUUGCUGGAACACAACAUAAUGUGAUUGUGAAUUCAAUUAUCUUGUAUGCAUCGUAUAUAUUUAAGACAGAUGUGGAUUGCAUAUCUCUAUGUGUGUAGGCCACAUAACUAUGUGACAAAAUUAACUGCAUAUUAAGAUAAAUAUGUAAUUAUAGUCAUAGUGUGAAUGUUAAUCUCUAUAGUGUGUGAAUCUACAGUGGUUUAAAAAGAAACAGAGCAAAAGCUUUUCAGAGUAAAGACAAAGGCCUUCAGGUAAAUUUUGGUUUGAAAUGUGUAAAUACUGUGUGAGGAAACCAAUACAGAUAUGUACCCUUUAAACACCACAAUGUGGUGGAUGCAUCUUCAUCAAAAAAACACAUUCCGAAACAAAGUUGUUUGUACUAAAGCAUUCAAAUGAAUGUAAUCUAAUAAGAGACGGCAAACAUUUCUCUCGGGUCACUGCCGUCAUAACAUGAAAUUACCAGAAAACCAGAAGUAAUUGAUGUGCUUUCUCUGGCUUGUAGUGUUGCUCAAGCACAGAUUUAUCCUGCGUUUAUGAAUCAGAGCAGUGGUUCGCAGUCAGGGUCCCCUUUGAGAAUAUAGGGACAUUGUAAGACCCCCAAACAGGGUUGUUCCUUCUUUGUUUUGAAUUAAUUGCAUUACAAUAUAUUAACAAACUUUUUAAUUAAAACAAGUACAUAUCACUCUGCUGUUUUAUUACAUUUUGUAAACAUAUUUUCAACCCCCGGUUUGGGAGCCACUGCUGUGGAGGAGGGGUGCUGCCUCCGGUUGAGCCCAGAUCGUACAAGCCAUCGUGGUUCAUGACUAAGUGUGAUGCUAAGAGAGGCAGCAUGGAAAAUUACCCCACAGCAAAUUAACUCGGCAGAAUGUGAUUAAAAAUAAUUUUUGUGAAACUAAUUUGCACUUGCUGUAGCAUAAAAUUGAGGUUGCGUUUGAACAGUUGGUCCAAUUUUCAGAGGACCAUCAGGACUUUUGAAAAUUUAAUGAGGAUCCAAAUUGCCUCUUUUUCUCCCGUUCACAUCCUGUAUUUGGGACAAACCAAUGCUGUCUGUUAAAGAGCAGAAAGCCAUACAGAAGAAACAUAUUAAUACUCUGUACAGGUGGAUCCCAGAGGCAACAUCUAGGAAACGUUAGGUUUAUGGUUUCCUGCUUCGUUGGCCUGUAUUUUGCACAUAAAAUCAGGUAUUUAUGUGACUGCAGUUGAAAAAAUGCAAAGAUCCAGAAGAGUGCAUCUGAUAAAAAAUAAUGAGAAAAGGGAGGAUAGAAAAUGCCAUGUUGCUGUGAUCAUUGGUCUGGUGAUGACACGAUAAUCCCUGUGAGUGAGACGGCAGAGGUUACAGGUCAGCAAAGGGUUAAAUGGACUUCAACUCUAGACUUUUAAAACCACAGAGGAAAAAGGAUCAUUUUAAUCCUAAUAGCCAUUUGUUUAGAAAAUAAAUCACUGCAUCAUCCAUUCCACUCACUUAAUCUUUCCCAAAUGCCCAGACGGCUUUACUGGGGAGGAGAGUGAAAAUCCAUACCAAAUAAAAAAUACGAUAAAAUGUCAGUGAAUACGCAUGCGACUGCCUUUGAAAAAUGGCAGCACAAUUUUCAGGCAUCCCAGUGGAAGUAUUUAGGGGCUGGAGCCCUUUGUAACAUCAGUUUUGGGGAUCCACCAGCGAGGCCGGCACUGUGUGUGUGUGUGUGUGUGUGUGUGUGUGUGUGUGUGUGUGUGUGUGUGUGUGUGUGUGUGUGUGUGCUGUACCUUUUCCCUCAUGUGGCUGACAGAGAUUGGCCUACUUGAAGGGAGGAGAGUGGCUCUUUACGAGCUCCUCACGAUAAGGCAGGGAGACAUUAGGGUGACGGGUGUUCUCCUCGUGGUCAUUGUGUGGAAGAGGAAUGUUAGAAGAUGACAGCUGAGAGAGCAAGCAGAUUAUAAUCAUCCUUUACCUCAGUGCGGCCUCCAGCCAGCGGAGCGGCUCCUCUCCAGUCCUCUGCUGACGUCGGCGGUCCGUCUGAGGGGGCGGGAGAAGAAGCCAUGACUGAAUUUGAUUUGUUGGAGGUGACAUGUUUACCAGCCGGAGGACUGUCUCAGCCCAUAUAUAAACAGAAGGGCAGAUAAUUCACCAGUGAUUAUGCCCCACAGGGUCAUUAAUAUAUUAAUAGCUCAGUUAUGACCUAUGAACCCCAAUCAACAUACGAAUAAUAAUUCAAAUGACUCUUGCGUCUGCAGCUGAUUGAUGCCUUUUCUCUUUCGCUUUGUUGACAGAAUUGAAAAUGGUCACUUCCCCUUCCUGCAUCUCCCUAUAAUGGAAAUCAGGAGACAUUGUAAAUGCAUAUCAGCAAUGUUUUUUUUGUAAAUAUAAAAAGGUUGCACAAAUCUACGCUUAAAAACAAUUCCCAUAAAAGUAAUCAUUUGCUAUUUAGUCAUAACUAAAUAAAUAGUUUUUAUUUACGCUUUCACUUCUCCUAAUUGCAACCGGAGCAACUGUAUCAACUGGCAAUGAAGUAGGCGGGAUGGAUACGUGCCUUGUUACUGAUUAGAGAAAGACAAAACGGAGAAGCCGUCCUCCCAACACAAAAGCUGCCUGCUUGAACACAUGCUGAAUGAAUAAAGUGAAACAAAGCUUCAAUUACUGUAAGUCUGAUCCUCCGGGCUUGUGUCCAUGAAAAGAAAUCAACUGAACAAAAGUCUGUGCAUUCACACCAGAAUGUAUGUCUGCCUGCAACCGGCUCAGCCACUUCAUUCGUUCCGAGUACGUCACCCUGCACAGUGUCUCUCCCCUGUCGAGUCAUGUCUUACACAUCGCCGCACAUCUUACAGGUGUAUCAGAAAGAGCCGAUUCCGGAUCUGCGGUUGGAGGUAACGUGGCGCUUACAGCGAGUGAUCCACGGCGGGACACGUUUCUGCCUCGGGUCGGGCACCUUUAGUUGAAAGGGAUGUCUUAAAGUGAUGGAUAUGAGAACGUGUAAAAGCACCUGAGUCUGGGAAGGAACAGACGGCAGAGGAGCUUCACAAGAUUUGCGAAGUGAGUGUAGUUCAACUGAUACCAGAUGAGUCUUGUUGCUGCUUUACCAUUUAUUUUAAAUGUUCACACUCCGUCUUCUUCUUUCUGUAAUUUGUCAGAUUUAGACAAAUAUAAGAUUUUUCUGACAGCUUAAUUAGAGUGUGAGUAGACCAUGUAUGUAUAGUCAAUACUAGUGAAAUAUAAAUUUAUGUGGCAAAUAGUUGUGCGCGCUCGUUUCUUGCUCUUUAUCCAUCUGUGUUUAUCGCCUCACAUUCCUGCAUAUUUGUGUUCUGGGGUCGUAAACGCAGAGAUGCUGGUUGUUCAUAAGUGUGAGAUGUAUCCUUGUUUCUCACCUCAAACGACACUUAAAUCUGGAGAAACGUUUUCAUCCUCCAAUGAGGUGUUUUGUCCUGUUCUCUUGACCUGCUUUGCUUCAGACAUAAAAGAAUCCUUUGUGACGUGUUGAGCGGGAAUGAGUCUGAUUAGUUGGUGAAUAGGACGGAACAGAAGGACGCCACUGGUCACAGUACAGAAACGUGGCUAAAUGAACACUCCGAUAUGCCUUCCUCCAAGGUGAGUGCCUUUCAAAGUACACACACACAAAAUAUGGCACAAUUAUGUGCAAGUUGUAAUCUUUAUAAAAUUUGGAUUCAUUGUAUUUUUUGUUGUUGUUAGUGUAUUUUUAAUGAACGAAACAAAACAGCUUGACAUUCAAAAAAGGAUGUUUCAUAGGUAAGUGGCAACACGUAAUUAAACUACGGUAAAAUCAAUAUUGUCUUGGUUUCAACAGUUGCUCUUACAGUCUAAUAACGACGUGGAUGUUUUCAUUGGAGUCGGUUGAAAGCCCGGUGGAUCUCACACGGACGCCAACGUGAGAUGUUGUGAUGGAACUGACAGCAACUCAUGAACCCGCCCGUGUCUGCGCUCUCGCAACAAGCGCUCCGUCUCAAGGCUCGGCGUGCUGAUACCGCUACGUGCAUCACAAAAUUAUGACCACGACCUUUUUUGGUCCGUCCGCGAACAACAGAAUAUUGUCGGCUAAAUAGAUUUUGACAGUCGCCACUUUUUGUUCCCCAGCGUCCAGGGUCAUCUUGGACACGCGAGGGUCCCAGAGGGAGAGCGGCGCCACCGCGAGCCGCGAACCCAGAGUUGUGCUGGCGCCGCCGUGGGGGUCACCCCUCCGCUUCAGAGCCACGGGCCCGGCUGGUCUCAGCCAGUGCUGCUUUGCUCCUCUGUGACUAAGACGCUUCCACCCAGAGUUAAUUUUUAAUGACACACUUUGUUAUGUGGGUCCAUAGGGGGCCCUUGGUGGCGAUGCCUUAAUAAAGAGUCUCACUGCUUGCUCCCUUCUGAGAGGGCUUCAUUAAAUCCGGCAACGGAAGAGAAAAAAAAAAAGGUCUACGAUGAUCUAGAUUUGAGCCAAUCUGAACUUUAUAUUUCUCUUUCCAUCCGUCGGUCAGGCACUUUACAAAUUGAUUUUUAUUUUUCACAUCAAUGGCUGCAUUAAACUAAUACGCUAUGUUGAAGGACAGAUGAUGUGACCCCCCCCCACCCACCGCCCCAAAGGCUAUUUUGUAACGGUAGAGGAGAGAUUGUGUGUGUUUGUGGGUCCAUGGGGGAACGCAGGUUGGGGUACAGAGAGACGGUAUGCAGACACCAUCGAUCGCCAUCAAUAAUCCUUCAUUAUCUUUUCAUGUCUCAUCAGCACCACUAUUUGUAUCCCUCAGAAACAAGCCAGCAAACACAUGCCAAUUGUUUUGAAGGUGAACGCCUGUGUGAAGGGUUUAUUGUACAAUAAUAAAAUUGCCCGAUGCGGUCUACUUUCUGCAAGGUCAUGAUUUGACCUGGAUUCGUGACGAGAACACAUUUGGAUCUUUUUGUACAAGUUUCCUCCGUCUAUCCAAGUGUUCAUGGUUAUUUAAAAUAUACAAUAAUGGAUGCGCAUGGACAGGAAGAACCAGUUGCAAGGAACUCCAUAGAAAACUGUGGACGUGGAAAGCAUAAAUCACACUUUAGUCUAUGGACCAGAUUCAAUUUUGUUACAGAUUCAGAUUAUUUGCAAUGCGUAAUUUGCUGCAGCUUGCUCCUUUUCAUAUUACGGUGUGAGAUAAUUUGAUUCCACCGCACAGGGUAUGCUAAAUGAUUCCAGAGAAUUUGACAACUCUAUGAAAUAGAUACUCCACGUGGCACAUUAUUGGAAAGGUGAAUUAUUUCAGAUGUGGGCUAAGUGAACCCUCCAGGACCUGCUGGAGCUUCAUUGUGUGCUGCUAUGGAAACAAGUGGGAUUCAGUCUCAGUUAGUGUGUGUGUGGGGGGGGGGGCAUCCUUGCUGUUUUACAUGUAGCGAAUGUGCCUGUCGAAAGACAAACAUUGAGCUCAGCAUCACGGUCAAUCAGUCAGAAAGAGCACCGGACCUUGUGUGCCACCCUUUGACUAAAGUCAGAGGGCUUUACUGUUAAUGUAGCUGACUGGAGUAAACUGUGAGUAAAAUGAGGCUCAUCUCCAGCUGUGCAGCAAUGUAACAAUAUUAGAAACAGGUUCCAGAACCUGUUUCUAAUGAUGUAGAGGUAACUUUGAAGUGGAGUGGAGCUGCUCGUAAUUGUUGGUAAGACUUCUACUUCAUCUCCCUGCCAGAAUGAACACCUGCCUGCUGGCGUGUUGCUCUAGUAAUAAUCAAGGAGGGAAAAGGAACACAGCUUCGCUAGAGCUGCAGUCAGCCCGCAAAUUGAUAAAUAUUUUCGACAGUGCCUUUACUGGCUGAAGUUGAUUUAACAUUUGAUCGUUUGUGUCUUUCUCCUGCUCUCCCAUUUGCAAGAAGAUGCCAUUUUAUGAGAAUACGAUUAUAGAACAGCGUGAUGAGAAAACAAAAUGAAUGCUAGAUGGGAGAGAAUAUGAACAGAUUAGUGGUUAACUACAGUACAUGGGACUAGGUCACAUUGGUUAGAAUAUGAUGCUUCAUUAUUACCUGCUCAUCUAAAUCUGCUGCACGAUAUUGUAUUACGUCAUAAUUAAGGAAGCAGCAGAAGUAAUUCAAGGUGGCAAUUACAACCAUGUCAUAUUUCUACGAUGGCUUGAGACACGGUGGAUCACAUUUGGAGGGGAAAUAGAUAACAAAAUGAGGAAAUUAAAAGGUUACGAUGAAUUGUAUUUGUACUUAGAUUACGUUUAUGUGUUUUGUAUAUAGACGUCUGGGCCUGUAGGAGAUUAAAUUUGGCCCAUGAUUUUGGUGACCGUUAAAAGGUUAUAACAGACAGAAAGAUAUCAUUUGAACGGUGGAAUAUUUAAUUAACUUCAGAGUGAAAAUGGGGAAAUGUCAGAGAAGAAUAUUUUCUAGAUGCACAUCAGUAAAAUGUAACCAAGUACUCGUAUACUCUAUUUAAGUGAAAUUUUGUAUUGUAUAUUUAUGUAUUUACUUAUUACGGUACUUUAAUAAUAAUUGUACUGCAUAUUUAUUCUGAAUAAUUUUACAGAUUGAAUCCAGCCAUCUUCUAAGAUCACAUUUAUAUGUAACUAAGCUGAAGAAUCGAAAUUACACUUUUUUUCAUUCAUAAUCUCAUGCUCUGUGUUUAUUAUGCAUGAGUAUUUUUGCAGUCGAUAAAUCUUUACCUACUACUGAGCCUAACAGGAGGACAUCUGAAUGUCUCACCGAGGAAGCGGCGCUCUGUUUAGUCUCCCGUUAUUUCAUGUGAUUUGCACUCCUUCCUCACAGGCGGGACAGAGCUGAUUUGCCGUGUUCUCCCUUGUCUUUGUCAAUACGCCGGCCGCUCUGUGGCCCACUCACGCCGGCGCACAGCCCACCCAAACUCCCUGCGCUCCGUCCGCCUCGCAGCUCCUCCCCGGCUCACUCUGGGCCUCCUGCUCUGCGGCUUUGAACUUGAAUUUAGCUCACCUGCAGUCUCUUGCCCACAGCCCAUAUCCACUCUCCCGUCCCAUCACUCUCCUCCUCCCAAUCCCUUAUUCUCCCUCCCCUCCAGCUCCUCUCUGGGCUACAUGAUAACACAGCGCUUUACCCCGGAGCAGCCCAAACCAUGAGCAUAUUCACUCCGUCAUGACAGCGCUGUUGCAAAAAAAAAAACUGCUGUCACGCCGAGUUUUCCCUGCUAAUGUGGCUCCGGGCGCUCCGCUAGCCCGCACUCCAAAUACUGCGAUGGAGGCGUGUGGAGUGUUGCUCGGCGGGGCUGAGUAGCACAAUGCGCGGCAGGGCUUUGUCGCCGUGGAGGUGAAUGUAAGGAGGAUGUUUUAGAGGCUGUGAAGUUCCUCUCACAGACGAGAACAGUUUAGUUCCCAGCCAGGUGAAUGCGGCUCGACACGCGGCAAAAUGUGAAAACGCUCAAGCUGGCUCCUAUUCUCCUUCCUGCACCCUUUGAGGAGAGUGAGAGAGGAGGCUUCAAAGGCCUCCGUCGACACCCGGCACGGCUUUGAACCGUGUCCUUGGACUGUCACCUGGAAAGACAUACGCUCCCUUUAAUCACCCACCUGCAAACGUCAUGUAUCAAGACACGUACAACGAUAGCAAAGGCAUCUCAACACGCUGGGCCUCUCACACAUGUACACACAGUACACACACAACAAGCAUUCCCUCCUUCAGCUACAGUGAGGGACUGACGGCAGGAACAAGGAGUUUACCUCCCUCCACGUGUGCAGCUACACAAUCAAUCAUUGAGGUGCAAAGGAGGACAAAUCAGCCAAUUAGCACAUUUUAUUUGUGGGACGCAUGAAACUCCACCGCGUCUGUCUCGUGCAAGCCAGAGAUGGCCGUACUGUAUGUGUCAAAUGAAUGUCAGCCGCUCGCUUCCUCGUAGCGUUCACUGAUCUCUGACAGAGUUCAUUCAAUCAAAACCUUUUUUGAGAGUAGUUCAUUAUUUUGGGAAAUGUGGUCAUUCGCUUGUCAGUAUAAAUUAAAAGCUAUCACAAGGACGGAGAAUAUGGGCACACGGCUUGCCUGACUUUGUCCAAAGUCAGCUAAAUCUGCCAACUAGUAGUAUGUAUGUAGUACUUUUAACAUCCAACUUAUUUUUCCUCUUCCACUGAAGCAACACACCAAACCCAAUCAAGUCAUUUCAUUCGAAACAGGACAUAUUAACUGACAAAAAUCUGGAAUUGAAAAUGAAACAAACAUUUGACAUUAGGUGCACAGCAGGACAGAGUCUUUGUCAGUAUACCUCCCCUGAGACAUCAUCGUUUCACAGGGCUGUGAAGGAGAGAAGUAAAGACAUGUGUGGCGGAGUGGAGAAGGAUGGCUGAAAAUCGGGGUGGAUUUGACCGGGAUUUCUGAUAAGCUGGAUGGACCCAGCGGUCGGCUGGUUCCUAUCAAAUCACAUAGAUCAAGAGCGGUGUUGAAGUUUGACGGAAAUCAAUAUUUGACCCCAUUGCCAGACUUUUGAUUAGUGCCGGUGUUUAUGCCACUAAUUACGUUCCAACCCUUAGUUGGGGGCAUCAGGUUGAAUUGUAGAAGAAGAUCGUGACAUGUUGCGACCUGGGUUGCACAGCUCAUUGUGUUGCCUGUUGCGAACUUCCUUCUCCCUCCAACUUGCCAUGUGCCAUCUGUGUGUUUGCGUGAUGUACAAGUACGAGCAGAAGCAGGUCAGCAACGAAAUCAACCAAUCAGGCUGUUGGUGUGAUGGAAAAUACAGAAUUUGCUAAUUCAUGUCGCUGAUGAAUAUGCGCUCGGCUCCGGCGUUGGGGGCCAGGCUUAAAGGCACGGGGCAUAUGGGGAAUGAGGAGGGGCGCAGAUGCUCCUCAGGGCCAGAGGGCUGGUAAGCAAACUCAAGAGGGGCACUGAGAGGGGAGAGGAGGGAGGAGACGCCGGGGCGAACACGAGAGAGGAAGACGGAAUAUGAGGCGGGGGCAGAGAGAAAAUGGCGCGCUUAUACCUCGCGUCAAAAGUCAACUCUGGUCCCGCUGUGCAGAACCAACCCCCCCUCCCAAAAGUCUGGUCACAACCGGCAGCUCAAGUGAUGACGCUGCUUCAAGAAGUUCACCUAUGAGCACCAGGUGCGUUCCUCCUCUGACCUUCAGCUAAAGUAAACAGCUCACCAGAGGACAAAGGUCGGCACCCAGGCCAGAGGUCCAGUGUGACCUCACCAGAGAGCAACUCCACACACAACAAACAUCCUCAUAUCGAAAUGCCCAUCUACCCCGUCACCGAUGCCUUGUGCACAUGCUGCAGCUGCCCCUGCAGCAUCGGGAGGAUCUCAGCACCAUCUACUGGUGGCGCAGUGAAUAAGCUGUUCCGCUGCGGCCGAGGGGAAAUAAACACUAACUCAGUUCCCUCUAAUCAUUUUCUCCACCGCCUUUUGCCAAGCUCCCCUCUUUGUAUUUACACCUCCUUGGAGCCAAGAAACUAAUCUGACGUGAUUAGUUACACUUGCCAGUGCAGCAGUAUGGUAUCUUGUAUCAUUCACAAAGACCUUCUUUUAUAUCAAAGGAGGAGGAAGGUAGUUUCCAAUUUGAUUUGAUGCAAAAUUUGAUACCAGCACAAAAUGCUGGUAGAAAAGCUAAACGUGUAAUGACAAACAAGUGGACACAUGAUCAACUUUUAGGCUGAAAGGGCAUAAAUGCUUAACGUAACUAACAUCCUCACUCUGUGAUUGGCCUCCACCAACUCCUGAAUGAAAUAUCUGGCUCUUUAGCUGCUGAAUGCUCCGUUUUGUUCACCGGUUGCUGGUCUGCCAUGUGGUGCUUUGCAGGCACAGCGGGACACGAGAGUCGCACUGGUGCACGCUGUGACGCGGUAAACACAAUCUGAUGGAUGAAAUUGGCGCAGAGCCACACUAAUGCAACCGCCAUCACCAAUAAGUCAACAUCACAGCGUUUGCUGUGCAAUGAAUUCAGUUACUUCCGCCCAAGUUCCUAAUGUUUGUUAACGUGACACCUUGACAUCCCAAAAUGCAUUUCCUUCCCUGAUGGUGGUAGUCGAAGAGAUCUUUAAACGCCACCUCAGGACACAUGAAGAAAUGACCGACUUGUGGGAGAUUUGUGCUGUGAAUGCACAUCUGACAAAACAAGGCAGUCACUGGGGGGGAGCAUGAAGCUGGUAUUCCCAUUGUUUUGAAGAAACACAAUGUCGAUGCAGUGCUGCUCUGGCAGUGUUUCUCUAUUCCUAUCACAGCCGACAGCGGAAGAGCAAAGAAUAAUCAAAUCUAUUGUGUAGCUGCUUGUGUAACGCUCCUCCCAACAGCAAGAGCUCGGCACGCUUCCUCAGGUUAACGCUUUAGUUGACGUAUAAGAAUAUUAGAUGACGCUCAGCCUUUCGAUGCCGGUUGGUGGUUUCUGAUAACAUUGGCGGAAAAUUUGUCAGCCGUGUGAGGCGGGGGACUUAAAAUCUAAUAAAAAAUUAAGAUACAUUUAUUUAAAAAAAAAGGUACCAGCAAUGCCACCUAGUUGACCAGCCACUGCUGCUGAUCCGUCCUGCCCUUUCUUCUAGAUUCCGGUUCCGUUCCUUUCCUGAGCGAGGUGUCCCGUCCGUCUCGUUCCUCUCCUCGUUUGCACCCCGCAUGCUGUCUUGCCGUCCUCUCGCUUGAUUUCACUGUGUCUUCUGCUCUCCGGUGGCUUCUCCUUUCUGCCGUGCUUAGUGUCCUUUAUAGCAGUUGUGUUAAUUGGAGAGGGGAGGUCCUUUCAUUGUGUAAUGUGGUUGGCCAGGGCUCUCUGUAAUUGAUUAGUCCCUCCAGGUGCAUGUAGCUUACUGAAAGGUGGGUUAAUACGUAAAAAUGUAAUAAAACGAACCAUGCUAAACUGUAAUAAAACAAGUUAUGCUAAAAUGUAAAACCAAACCAUGCUAAAAUAUAAUAAACGAAUAAUUUACAGAAACCACAAUGUCCCCCGGUGACAAAUAUAUCCACAGGUAAAGCAGGGACUGGAUAAAUGUCUCUCUGAGUCCGUGGAUGUCUGCAUUAGUUUAAGGCUCGCUCAUCCGGACUAUUACAGACAGACACAUCGGUUUGUUAUCAAUGGGAACAGCUGCUCAAGAACUGCGUGUAAAAUGGUAAUGAGCAGCGAGGGCCCGCAGAGAACACAAGACAAAUCUUUUCUCUGGGGAACAUGGUUUCAGAAACCCCAGCGUGGUCCCUCACAGUCCCUUCCUCCACCUAGAUGAGAAAACGAAUUACCGCUGAAGGUGUGAAGGACUUCCUCCUUCCUCCUGCAGUCAAUCAGCGGCACGUGGGCGUCUUUGUCAGAGUAAUAAUGCGUGACGCUCUAAUAAAGUUAUCGUUGCCAGCAUUUUGUUGCAGUCAAGAAAGUUAGUUCAUCCAUUAGCAUAUGAGAGUCAGUGUUUCUCUUUUAUUAAUGAGGAGAACAUGGUGUUCUGGUGGAACAGAUACUUCCUUCGUAACGUCACACACACACACACACAGUUACAGGGGGCGGUAGUGAGGGGCUAAUAGCUUCUCCAAGGAUGAGAUCCGACCUAAUUUGCACCAUGCAAAUUCCCCGUGGGGACAGCACCUACAGGAGAAGCAUAACAACCCUCAGCGAGCGCCUGCGGUGUCCCUGCACGCUGUGUGUGUGUGUGUGUGUGUGUUGCUUUUGGGGAUGGAAGGAAUCGAGAGCGAGAAAUGGAAGUGAUAUGAAAAAGGAGAACAAAGGGAAAGGAGAAGAGAUGUGAUUCAAUGCCACUAAUCUCUUUGAUAUCCACACUGUGACGUUCUGUAUCAGGCUGAGAAUUUCCCAAAUUAUUCUUUUCGUCUUUUAUUCAUGACCUGCGGGACCUCCUGACUUACCCUCUUACUGCUUUGCUCUGAAGUUAAACCCAACCUCCAGCCCUUCUCUCCCUCGCCCUCCCUCCCUC